CGGGGACCCGCACAAGCGGUGGAGCAUGUGGUUUAAUUCGAAGCAACGCGAAGAACCUUACCAAAUCUUGACAUCCUUUGACAACUCUAGAGAUAGAGCUUUCCUCUUCGGGGGACAAAGUGACAGGUGGUGCAUGGUUGUCGUCAGCUCGUGUCGUGAGAUGUUGGGUUAAGUCCCGCAACGAGCGCAACCCUUAAGCUUAGUUGCCAUCAUUAAGUUGGGCACUCUAAGUUGACUGCCGGUGACAAACCGGAGGAAGGUGGGGAUGACGUCAAAUCAUCAUGCCCCUUAUGAUUUGGGCUACACACGUGCUACAAUGGACAAUACAAAGGGCAGCGAAACCGCGAGGUCAAGCAAAUCCCAUAAAGUUGUUCUCAGUUCGGAUUGUAGUCUGCAACU
rnacentral:rRNA from 1 species